AACGUAGGUGGCGAGCGUUAUCCGGAUUUACUGGGCGUAAAGGGUGUGCAGGCGGGCUGUUAAGUGGUGUAUGAAAUAUCCCGGCUUAACCGGGAGGGGUUAUGCCAGACUGUCAGUCUUGAGUGCGAGAGAGGAGCGUGGAAUUCCGGGUGUAGUGGUGAAAUGCGUAGAGAUCCGGAGGAACCCCAGAGGCGAAGGCGGCGCUCUGGCUCGCAACUGACGCUCAGACACGACAGCAUGGGGAGCGAACGGG
rnacentral:rRNA from 1 species